rnacentral:rRNA from 1 species
AAGAGCUUGUAGGCGGUCUGUCGCGUCUGCUGUGAAAGACCGGGGCUUAACUCCGGUUCUGCAGUGGGUACGGGCAGACUAGAGUGUGGUAGGGGAGACUGGAAUUCCUGGUGUAGCGGUGAAAUGCGCAGAUAUCAGGAGGAACACCGAUGGCGAAGGCAGGUCUCUGGGCCAUUACUGACGCUGAGAAGCGAAAGCAUGGGGAGCGAACAGGAUUAGAUACCCUGGUAGUCCAUGCCGUAAACGUUGGGCGCUAGGUGUGGGACUCAUUCCACGAGUUCCGUGCCGCAGCUAACGCAUUAAGCGCCCCGCCUGGGGAGUACGGCCGCAAGGCUAAAACUCAGAGGAAUUGACGGGGGCCCGCACAAGCGGCGGAGCAUGCGGAUUAAUUCGAUGCAACGCGAAGAACCUUACCAAGGCUUGACAUACACCGGAAUCAUGCAGAGAUGUGUGCGUCUUCUGACUGGUGUACAGGUGGUGCAUGGUUGUCGUCAGCUCGUGUCGUGAGAUGUUGGGUUAAGUCCCGCAACGAGCGCAACCCUCGUUCCAUGUUGCCAGCACUUCAAGUGGGGACUCAUGGGAGAAUGCCGGGGUCAACUCGGAAGAAUGUGGGGAUGACGUCAAUCAUCAUGCCCCUUAUGUCUUGGGCUUCACGCAUGCUACAAUGGCCG